ACUGCUCAGUAACACGUGGAUAACCUGCCCUUGGGUCCGGCAUAACCCCGGGAAACUGGGGAUAAUUCCGGAUAACGCAUAUAUGCUGGAAUGCUUUAUGCGUAAAAUGGAUUCGUCUGCCCAAGGAUGGGUCUGCGGCCUAUCAGGUAGUAGUGGGUGUAAUGUACCUACUAGCCGACGACGGGUACGGGUUGUGAGAGCAAGAGCCCGGAGAUGGAUUCUGAGACAUGAAUCCAGGCCCUACGGGGCGCAGCAGGCGCGAAAACUUUACAAUGCGGGAAACCGUGAUAAGGGGACACCGAGUGCCAGCAUCAUAUGCUGGCUGUCCGGGUGUGUAAAAUACACCUGUUAGCAAGGGCCGGGCAAGACCGGUGCCAGCCGCCGCGGUAACACCGGCGGCCCGAGUGGUGAUCGUGAUUAUUGGGUCUAAAGGGUCCGUAGCCGGUUUGGUCAGUCCUCCGGGAAAUCUGACGGCUCAACCGUUAGGCUUUCGGGGGAUACUGCCAGGCUUGGAACCGGGAGAGGUAAGAGGUACUACAGGGGUAGGAGUGAAAUCUUGUAAUCCCUGUGGGACCACCUGUGGCGAAGGCGUCUUACCAGAACGGGUUCGACGGUGAGGGACGAAAGCUGGGGGCACGAACCGGAUUAGAUACCCGGGUAGUCCCAGCCGUAAACGAUGCUCGCUAGGUGUCAGGCAUGGCGCGACCGUGUCUGGUGCCGCAGGGAAGCCGUGAAGCGAGCCACCUGGGAAGUACGGCCGCAAGGCUGAAACUUAAAGGAAUUGGCGGGGGAGCA
rnacentral:rRNA from 1 species